UGGCUCAGGAUGAACGCUGGCGGCGUGCCUAACACAUGCAAGUCGAACGGAGUUUAACGCUGAUGAAGCUUCGGCAGAAUCUUGUUAAACUUAGUGGCGGACGGGUGAGUAACGCGUGGGUAACCUGCCUCAUACAGGGGGAUAGCAGUUGGAAACGACUGAUAACACCGCAUAAGCGCACGGUAUCGCAUGAUACAGUGUGAAAAUAUUUAUAGGUAUGAGAUGGACCCGCGUCUGAUUAGCUAGUUGGUGAGGUAACGGCCCACCAAGGCGACGAUCAGUAGCCGGCCUGAGAGGGCGGACGGCCACAUUGGGACUGAGACACGGCCCAAACUCCUACGGGAGGCAGCAGUGGGGAAUA
rnacentral:rRNA from 1 species